rnacentral:lncRNA from 1 species
CAAGGUCUGGCCAAAUUGGUCCUAUGACAGAAAGAACUCAUGAAUGUAAACUUGAGGAUAUUACACUUUUCUUUAGUGAAUAUAAGUGAUCUACUUAUGUGUACUUGUUUUACUGUAUUUUAUUUUGCUUAGUUCAGAGAGGGGUGAUUACUGAGCUCUGAAAUGUACAGUUUAGGCUAGAAGACUUGUACCUUCAGUAUUUAAUAAAAGAAACUAUACAUAAUUCU